CUACGUGCCAGCAGCCGCGGUAAUACGUAGGUGGCGAGCGUUAUCCGGAAUUAUUGGGCGUAAAGCGCGCGCAGGCGGAUUGGUCAGUCUGUCUUAAAAGUUCGGGGCUUAACCCCGUGAUGGGAUGGAAACUGCCAAUCUAGAGUAUCGGAGAGGAAAGUGGAAUUCCUAGUGUAGCGGUGAAAUGCGUAGAUAUUAGGAAGAACACCAGUGGCGAAGGCGACUUUCUGGACGAAAACUGACGCUGAGGCGCGAAAGCCAGGGGAGCGAACGGGAUUAGAUACCCUGGUAGUCCACGCUGUAAACGAUGUCGAUUUGGGGGUUGAGCUUUAAGUUUGGCGCCCGUAGCUAACGUGAUAAAUCGACCGCCUGGGGAGUACAGCCGCAAGGUUAAAACUCAAAUGAAUUGACGGGGGCCCGCACAAGCGGUGGAGCAUGUGGUUUAAUUCGAUGCAACGCGAAGAACCUUACCUACUCUUGACAUCCAGAGAACAUUC
rnacentral:rRNA from 1 species